rnacentral:rRNA from 1 species
AGGGAAUCUUCCGCAAUGGACGAAAGUCUGACGGAGCAACGCCGCGUGAGUGAUGAAGGUUUUCGGAUCGUAAAGCUCUGUUGCCAGGGAAGAACGUCCGUUAGAGUAACUGCUAACGGAGUGACGGUACCUGAGAAGAAAGCCCCGGCUAACUACGUGCCAGCAGCCGCGGUAAUACGUAGGGGGCGAGCGUUGUCCGGAAUUAUUGGGCGUAAAGCGCGCGCAGGCGGCUGUUUAAGUCUGGUGGUUAAUCCUGGGGCUCAACCCUAGGUCGCACUGGAAACUGGACAGCUUGAGUGCAGAAGAGGAGAGUGGAAUUCCUCGUGUAGCGGUGAAAUGCGUAGAGAUGUGGAGGAACACCAGUGGCGAAGGCGGCUCUCUGGGCUGUAACUGACGCUGAGGCGCGAAAGCGUGGGGAGCAAAC